CCGGCGAUACCACCUGCUUCCACCGAUCCCUGACGACCUAGCCGCGUCGGUGAGGGACGCACUCCAUCUGACUUACCAGCGCAGCUGUGAGGUCAUCCUCGUUCCUCCCGGCAAGGAAGUGGACAAGGAAGAGUACGAAACUUCAUUUCGUGUAAUCUGGAUGGCACAGUGCAAGACCAAGGUGGUGGCAUUUUUCUAUUCUUCAACCACGGGGCAGUGGCAAUCCAUUGCAUCAAAGGCUUGGAGCGAUUUGUUAGUCUGCGGCAUGCCAAUUGUAUCUUUGAAAUACCGUUUGUUCUACCGUAGUCAUUAUGCCUACGGAUGUUUGUACUGGCCGAUGACGAAUGGGAUAGAAUUUGGGCUGAAGAAUCGUCCGGGGGAAGCUAUGCUCAUGCUUGACACCAUGACAAUGGAGUUCUCCGUUGCUGAUUAUCCACCUGGAAGAUGGAGAGGGUUCCAGGUUGGUAUCGUGGAGGCAGGGGAAGGCAGGCUUGGAUUGCUCACUUUCUCAAUUAAUGAUGCAGCAUCACAACUUCGUUAUAUGGUUAGGCAAAACACAGAUGGGAGUAACAAUGAGUGGCAGUUGGAGAAGAUAAUCCCCUUGGGUUCGGGCAAUCAUUCUAUUGUUGCUUCAACCGAGAGGUACUUGCUCCUCCUAAGGUUAGAUUUUGGGACAGACCACUCUGAAGGUCUCUCAUUAGAUGUCAAGACAUUUCAGCUUGAGAGGGUGUGUGAGCUAUCUGACGUUACAAGCAGGUCAAUAUAUACCAGCUUCCCUCCAUCACUGUCAUCCAGGACAGUAUGAAGUGAAUGAUGCUGCAUAUUUGAACAAGUAUUCUGUCUACAUGCUGAAGAAUGCUAUUGCUUAUAUAAUUACCCUGUGAUGAAAGGGCUUCAGAUGGCUGUCAUGGCAAUUGCAUCCUCAAGGACGAGUGCCGACAUGGUGCUGCAUACUUUUGCUGCAGAAGAAGUGGUUUUCUUGUUCCCCGGUUGGAGUUCUGUACAAGUUCUUUUAUAUCACAAUUGCCUAUCAUU